CGUGGAAGAGGCAGGAGUGGCCCAAGUGUUCUCGCGCCGUGGUAGUUUGUGUAAGAUAGCGUAGCUUAUUAGUCGUGUGUGCAAAAGUUAAACGGUGUGUUAUCGUGUGUGCUGGUGGUUGAUAACGACAGAUCCGUGACCACGCCGCUACGACGCCCGACAACCCACACCGAACCAUCGAGGCCAUUCUUGACCCCACCAUCAGAUUGCGAGGUUCUCCCGGGGCACGCCGGAAGAGGGACGCGAUCGCCAAUCAACGCGCCCUAGGCAGGGCAUCACCGAAGAAGAAGAAGAGAGAAGGCAACCGUUUUCCGUUCCGUUGGUGACGACCGACGGACAUCGACGCACGUGCCGCGUCGCGCCUUAGAUGAGACCGUAAGUUUCGAUCCGGAGCAAAGCCAUCCGUAGGCGACAACCGCAGUCGCAGCAUCGUCAGCUAGCCCAGCUAGCCCAACCGCCAACCGCCGGCGAACCGCGAUGUAAGAUUCAUCCCAUCCGUUCAACGAACAGCCGUAGCAGCAUCAGCAUCUAGGCAAGCCGCCGACCCGCCGGCGAUCAGCGUGUAGUUUUACCGCCAUCGUCCGCAAGUGAUCACAUGGACGCCGCGUAAGUCGU